CUAGACAGCAGCGCUGUUGGCGACGCCCGAAGCAACGAAUCACCACAACAUAAAUGAGCUCUGGACCAGGCCUCAGUGGGGCUAAGGCAGCAACGGCGAAAAAAUGGCGGAUGAAUCCGAAGCUGGACUGGAUAGCAAAGCUCUACAUUCGCUACGCGUCGUCGACCUCAGAUCUGCUCUAGAGAAACGAGGACUACCGAAAAGUGGGAGCAAGAAGGAACUCGUUGAGCGACUGAAGCUGCAACUUAAGAUAGAGAAACUGCACGAGGAGUCUGUGAAAGCUGAAGAUCGUGUGCCCAACCUCGACCUCCAAGAUGAGCCGACCGGACAGAACGACUUUGUCAGGCAGUACUUGGCAGCUCAACAACAAACAUACGCAAUGCAACUUAAAGAGCGCAGACUGGCUGAGAUGCAGGCCUGCAGCAGUGUUCCAGAACAAGUGGGUGGUCAAGAGGCCGCUGCAGCACCAGUGGUGCUCAGCCCAGCUGAGGAUGAGAAGAGCAGCCACCAAGGGUCUUGGGAGCGUCCACGCAGAGGCCGUACCUGCCCAUCUUCUAUAGAUCCAGGAGGGGAUCAAGCAAAAUUGCCUGUGGAAGCAAAUAAUGCAAUAGACACUUGUAGAAGGAGUAGUCUUCGCCAACAGAGGCCAUCUCCUCCAAGUCCUGCGAAGAAAGGUCGCACAAAGCAAGCAGGAGCAGGGGAGCUUAAGCAAGGUUGCCAGCCGGAGUCCAAAUUUAAAAGCAGCCAAAGUGAGUGCAGCGUACAUGACAUAGUGCAAAGGGUUGUACAGUCACCUCAAAAAGGAGCAGUAGCACCUGUCGUUUCCCCUCUGCCAAUUGAAGAGCGGCAAGAACAGCGGUACCCUUCCAGAAGGAAACGAGAGCAGUCUGGCAGUGAAGAAAUGGUCACUGCUUUACAGUCUGAAUGUACAGUAACCAUCAUCAAUGAUGAGAAAGAGUUGUGUGAUGCAGAAACAUGCCAAACAACACCAGCUGGCCACGAGAACAGAACUGCUGAGAAAUGUCAAUUUGUGAGGGAGAAACAUGCACGGUUAGAAAAUCAAUCCGCAGGACUUAAGACUGCACAUAGAAGCACACGAAAAAAAAACAAGAGAACAUCAUCAACCACUAUGGCAUUAAGCAAAGACACCAAUGCUGAAUCCAACCCAUUAGAUCCAGGCCAGCAAACCUUACCCCAGCAAUCUUCAUCAGGGCCCACUCGGUUAAACUUCGAAAAAACAAGCAACCCCAUACAAUGCUGUGUAGUAGAUGGGAGUGAAAAGAAGGGAAAGCCAUUGCGAAUGCUCAUAACAAGGACGGGCACAACAAAGAGUGUCAUUUCUUGCAACCGUGUAAAUAUGCGAUGUGAACCAUUUCCUGAAAAUGCUGCUGCAUGCCAGUUGAAUGCUUCAUCUACUCAAGUGCCUUGUAAUGUGCUAUCAAGUGAACCAACACUUCCAUCAUCUGCCUUAAAGAAUUGCCAGCCAGACACAAAAGAUACCCAAAGCUCAAGCCAUUUGUUAGAAGCACAAGUUGGAGAUGACCUUUAUGAAACACUGAACAAAUUAUAUAUAACAGAGGCGGAUUGCAGGAAAAAAGUAACAGAGACAGAUAGUGAGAAGGAAAGUGUCAGCUCAGUGCAAUGUGACACAAUACCAGGGUGUGCAACACCUGAAAGUAGUGCACCCAGUUUGGCAGAACAAGAUAGGAAUGAUGAAGGCUUAAAUAAGGAUUCUGAUAUGGGAAAUUGUGAUAGAAACACAGAGGAAAACAUGUCAUCAGAAAAAAAAGAAAGUGUUCAGCCAGCAGCUGCAAUUAUUCAAGAUGUAGAACAAAAAGCACUAGAACAACACUUGAGUGCUUCUUCAACAUCUCCUGCUGGACACAAUGCCACUAGCACAAGUAGCAUGGUGGCAGGUGCAUCUAGCAGCCCCACAAGACCAUCUGUACGUAGACCGCUGACACUAGCAGAAAUGACAAGUGCCGUAGAAUCCAUUCUUCAAACAACAGAGCGAACACUGGCCAUGAGUGAACAGUGCCACGACAUGCCCGACAAUGAUGCGAACCUCAUCGAUAAAAAAGAAGUUGACAGUGCUACUGACAGCCUUUUAAAGGAGAUGAGUGUUAACAAUGAAGACAUCAACUUCCAGCUCAUUACCUCUUGCCUGCCAGCACAACAGGACAAAACACUUGAAUUCGCAACACCAACUCUAUAUAAGAAUGACAUUCCCAGUGAUGACAAGAGCGGCUGUGGAAAAGAGGAAAUCAGUGUAAAGAGCACUCCCGAGUCACCUUAUGAUACGAUAUUGCCCCAAAGAGAAUCAGCCAUGCUUGAAACACCAAGCAGUAUUUCACAAAAUGAACUUACCUGCACCAGUAUACCGCACACAGAUGAACUUUCUGGUACACGAGUACCAUCAGAAGCAUCACUUACCAAAGAAAAGGUGAUGGAUCGAGGAGCACAACUAAACACAUCUAACAGUUCAACGCAAUGCUUUGAUGCUAUAGGGUUAGAUUCAGUCAUUAAAGAAACCAAAUAUUGUACAACUUCAGAGAGCGGCACACAUCAGCAAAAAAUAUCUGAACAGAACACUUCGACUGAAAGCAGUACUGCACUUCCAACAGAAUGCUCAGAAGACAUAGAUACUGAAAGAUCAUUUGAGGGUACAAGACUGACAUGCACAUUUACAGAAGCUUCAAAACACGAUGGUACAUGGAAGACAUUAAACAAUACUGAAUCCUUACAAAUCUUCAAUGCUAAAAUUUCUGUGCAAGUGCCUGAGAAUGAGCAGAAUGUAAACACUAAACAUGAAGUGCAAGAAAUGGGUGAUAAAAACUCGCUUUUGGAGAGUGCCUUCAAUCAAACGACCUUGGAACCUUUGCUUGAGACACAAGCUAAGCAAGAUAAUGGCCAGAAAGCUCUAACACAACGCCAGUCUUCAGACUGCCUUCAUUCUGCUUUUGAAGACAAAAAUGCGCCACACAGUCUUGUAUGUGUGCCGCCUCUUGAAACAGCACUGAAACAGAGUGCAUGUGUAGAACUGCUCAGCAGCUUAUCAUCACCACUGAAUAUAUUACAAGAAACACAGAACUUGCAUGCAAACAUUGCAGAAAAAGGUGCACCACUAGAAAUGCAAGUUAACAUGCAACGCUUCAGUCUAUUCAAAACAAACUCAGAAACAUUUUCUUGUUCUGCCGAUAAAGCACCAAAAUCAGCAGAGACACUAGAAACACCUGGACAAGAAGUGGAGCUAAGUAGGGGAGAUCAGCUGACCAGAAUUACAGAAGUGUCCCCAUGGUCUCAUGGUAGUGAUACUGCAACAAUGAUAAGCCCAUGCAGUCCACUUUAUAAUGAAGAACCUGGGGAAGGCAAGAAAAUGGACACUUCUAGUUUCGUUCCAGAGCCACUUUCAUUGAACUCGGAACAAAGCACACUUAUACAUGCUGAUCAUAGCGAGCAGCUUGAUCAGCACCAUGCCUCAGAUGACCACAUACUGUCCAAUGUGUCUGCAGAUGCUGAUGCACCAGCAAUACUUUCACCAAGCAAGAAUGCAGCCAUUAAAUUAGAUAACAGAUGCUUCAGCUACUUGCCUGAAGAGCAAUCAACCAUAGGAUCAGGCUCAAAUGAGCAUCUUCAAAAUGAAGGAACAAAAACUAAAGCAGUGCCAGGUGCUCUUCUGACAGUUCCUAGCAGAGAAGAGAAACCAGGAGAUGAAACCUCAAUUGACAGCUUGCAGGAAUGUACAGAAAAUACAAUGCAUGAAAUUACUGAGAAAGCAGUGGUGGUCACAAUGAUUGCAGGAUGUACAAUUUCCAAUGUUGGGACCACUGAUGAGCCAUCUGACCGAAGAAAAGAUCUGCUCCACGUUCCACAAGAAGAAGAGAGACAAAGGGAAAUGCAAGAAGAGAUCGCUCUUCCACACCAUGCAAAUUCCUCACCACAGGACAAAUCUGGAGACAAAGACACUAUGUCUACGUACACCACAAACCAAGAUGUUAAGCUUACCAGCUGCGAAUCGCCUAAACUGCAAGACGAAUGCAUCUCAGAAGCACUUAACAGAGAAACUGGUGUGAAUUUGGGCAACUCUAAUGGUGCUACGAAUGCAAGUGUUUCAGACAAUGCAAUCACGAGUUCAAUGCCCUUGAUAUCAGUGGUUUCUGAAAGUUCAUCAGGCUGCUUGGCCAACAUGCAUAAGCAAAAUGAAAAAGCUUCAGCUGUAAGUACAGUACCCUGCAGCUUACUUCGUGGCUUUACAAUUACACAGCAGCACCACCACCAACCCUCCCAAGAUGUCUCAGGUUUAGGGAGCUGUGACUCAACGACCGAGUCUUGCAAUGCUUUACAGCAUUCAACAGCUGUGUCAAUCAAAAAAUGUGGGGGAAUAUGCCCCGAUGCUAACUCAGCCACAAGCGUGUCAGAAAAAGGGCAACAUUAUGAUGAGACUUCUCAAGCACCUGACAGCACGAACAAGGAGUGUGUUGUGUUUCUUCAUACUGGUUUUUGCCAUAAUUCUGCAACUGUAAUGGGACCAGUGCAAGCGCAUUCAUCACCAAGCGUACAAGACACAAAGAAAUUGCCCUCCAACAUUAUACCAUGUUCCAAUGCCUUGAAACCUACUGCAAUUUCUCAGUUCUCCACACUACAUGAAAAUGAUGUGGACAUUCUGAAUAAGCCCAUGCAAGGUGAUGCACAAAUGCACACAACUCAAGACAGAGGAGCUGCACCAAAAGAAGUUAAAAAUAUGGUCACUUCUGUUUCUGGAGGUGGAGAGACUAGGGACAACAGUGGUGCCAUGAAAUCAGAAUCAACUGCAGGUGGUGCACGUGGCAAUUUCAGCCCAGCACAAAGAACACUUGAAAAUAACGAUAAUUUUGAUAACACAAGGGUGUGCUCUGGGGAAGGUAACUUGGCCAGCACUGGAGAGAAAUUUGCUACUACCACAGAAGUGAAAGAAGACAUGAAUAGCGCUGCAUCAGAACUACAGAGUGCCAUCACAGCACAUGAGGUUUCAACUGAACUGAAACAUACUAAGAGAACAGAGGUGACCGACAGCAAGCACAUGGAAUCACCAUCCGAGAUUAUGUCACAAAAACAUGAAUGUGUUGACGAAACAAAAGAAACAAUGGCAGCCAACACCGAAGUGAUCAUGGUUCACAGCAACAAAGACAACACAACAGCAACUGAACAGUUGUUAGGGGACGAAAAUGAUUCUUUCCAAAAAUGCAGCACUCAUAACCAUGAAAACAAGCAAGCAGUGGGAGGCAGUCCUCGCCUUCGUGGCAUAUCACCUGAACAUCCACCUUUCACUAUGUCUGUAACUAUACCAUGUAUGGUACAUGAAGCAAGUGCAGCUUCUCAAUAUUUUCCACAGGAAUCCACAAGUACUGUGGUUCCUGAACACUCAGAAGAACUUCACACUGAUGUCAGACAUGAACAAGAAGCUAUAAAAGAAUUUGAAAGUGUUGAAUUUGGUGGGCUUGAAGAGUUGGACACAAAAGAACCUACUGACGACUCAAAUGAUCUAAAUGUCACUGGAUCCACCGAUAUAUCAGUGAAGGCCAGACAAAUCAUUCACCAAGGUGCUGAAACAAAUUGUGUUCCUCACAGCAGCACUUUAAGAAAUAAAAAUGAUCCAGCACAUUCAAAUUUAUCAUCCAUAGAAAAGUGCCCAGAGGAUGGCAUAAGACCUCAAGAUGUUGAAACAGUGUUUAUUUCACCAAAUACAGCAAAUAUGGAGUGUGGCAAAAGUGAGCAGACGAAUGUGAAGGGCAUUGAUAACAGUAGUAGUUAUUCACUAAGUAAGACAUGUUUCACUGGGCUGUAUUCAACUCUGGGGCCACAAAAGAGGCAGCCUGAACCAAGCAAUAUAGCAUCCACCACAACUCCAUCUGUACACAAAGAAAAGGACAACCAGACGGAUAGCGAACUUAACUAUACACACAGCACCACAGACAUGACUUGUAGCACAGCCUCUUCAGGAAACACUACAGGACUGGAAUAUUCAAUUGCAGCACAUGCAGUAUCGCAAAUUUCUGCUACUGAAUGCAUUAACUUAACACACCUUGAUAUAUGUGAUAGCAAUCAAGCGGUAGAGACUCCUAGAACACUGGGACGUGAUUUUCGCACCAAUGCUGAACAUCCCAAUAGGUCUGCAGAAACUGUGAAUAGCCCGGUGAACUUUACUGUUCAGGAUGAGUUAGAAUGCACGCCAGGAAAUCGGCAGCACUGCGCAUUUUUACCAACUGAAGAUAUCCCCAAGGGCUCGGAGAUUCAAGGCAAAGCAUAUAUUCUCAGUAGUCCGUCCAACAGCACUAGUGGAGACGUUAGCAGCUUAAUUUAUAACAGCAAAGGGACGAAAGAAGAUUCAAUACAAAUGGAAGCGCAGCACAGCGCCGACCUCUUGAGAGCAUCAGGAGCAGAUGGUAUGGACACAGAUGUUGCUGCAACGCGUUCGAUGAAAUUCCCAAGCCGUUUGGAGUCCCAAGAGAGCAAUGCGGCGUCAAACACAUGCGGUGGAUACAGUUUCAGUAUUUUGGCUUCUCCGAAAAGCAGUGUCGAAUGGCGGUUUACGGGCGGCUGCAAGAACCCCGAAUAUCAGCCACAUGACGCGUGUGAACCCUUUCGACAGAACUGCAGCAAGUCCCACGCUAGCGCCGGUCUUCAGCACGAAACACAGGAGACGGAGAGAAAUGUUCUAGACUGUGGUGACCCAAGUGAUAGUAGUGGGGGCACCAGCUGUUCUGAAACUGAAGAGCACGAAAUGGCGCGCCUACGGGGUCGAGGGGUGCGCAAGCAGGUGGCUGCUCGGGCCACCAAGGAGUCAUCGGAAGCAUCUUCUGAUGGGGAAGGCAGUGAGGCUGGAAACCGGCGGCUGCGGAAUGGUCGCCGCGCAACGCCAGAGGAGCCUCGGGUGAUGCGGCGUUCAUCACGCAACCGCAAGGCAGCCACUGAGGAAAGCCCCAAGGAAGAUUCGGAUGCCGCCACUGAACCUGAGAGCACACCAGGGAGCCCACAACUGGAGGAAGGCCAGGUGCUGAGUCCCGUUCAUGAAGAGGAGGAGCAGCCUGUGGGUAAGAAGGCAUCGGAGGGUAGUUCAAGCUCAUCAUCAUCGGAGUCGUCAGAUUCAUCAGAUGGGGAGGAGGAACCAGUGGGCCGAAGGGGCCUCAAGGGGCUGCUGGUGUCGUCCCCAGGGCAACACCAGCCACCCUCAGAAGAGCCCCGUUCGCCCCCCAACAGCAAGCCACCACAGGAGGAGGGUGUCAAGAGCCAGGAGGAGCCAGCUGAAGUGGAGACCACAGUCCCUGACCAGCGUCCACUGCAAGAGGAGAGGCCAUCCAUAGAAAUCGUUUCUGAGGAUGCAGAAAUGAAGGAAGAUGAUGAGAGCGAGCCAGCAGCAUCGGGAGCAUCACCACCCAAGUUUAAAACCAGGAGGCUUUCGACUGCAGCCUUGAAAAAGGAUUCUGAAGAUAAAGAGGAGAGGCCACAGCGAAAACGCAGAUGGGGCUCCACGAAUGUUGUUCUUGGUCCUUCAGUAAGCAUUUCUACUGCUGCACUGAAGGACCUGAUACCUGAUAUUGAAGAGCCACUGUCCAAGCCCAAAGAGCUUGAAGAGGAGCAUGUCACUGCAUCUGUUGGAGAGUCACCAGUCGCAGAGCUUGAGGAGGCGUCUGAUGAGCCACCAGUCAAAGUGCAGGUUGUAGAUGAACGUACUAGCGAAGAAAUGCCACCCUGCGAUGACAACACAGAAAAUGAUAAGGAAAGGGGGGAAGAUGGAGAGACUAGUCACAGUGAGAAGUCUGCGAAGGGUGACAAGGUUUCGAGUGAUGAGAAACCUACAGAUGAUAGACUGCCUAAGAGUGAGCGCUUCCCUCAAGACGAAAAUGAAGAGCCCCUUGGCAGGGAUGAGAAGGCAGUCAAAGCUGACAAACUUCCGAGAGAAGUUAGUAAAGAUGAUAACCUAAAAAAGCCGGAUGCAAACGAGAAGGAAACGAAAGUGGCCAGAGAAAGAGCGUCGCCAAUUACAGCACCAAGUGCUGAGCGCAAGGCCCUCCGUGUGAUCUCUGACAGAGCGCCCUUGUCUAAAAGGCCUGCUGCAAGCAAGGAUGAAGCAGGCCAGCGCAAGUUGGCAAGCCCACCAAGGAACCCCAAGAGCCGAAUUUUAUUUGUGCGCAACCUUGUGCGGCCUUUUACGUUGAAUCAGCUGAAGCAAUUGCUUCAAGAAUUUGGAGACACUGUUGAUUCGGAGUUCUGGAUUGACAAGAUCAAAUCCAAAUGUUUUGUAACUUAUGUAUCGGAGGAAGAUGCUGUCAAAGCACGAGAAGCAUUACAUAACCUGCGUUGGCCACUCUGCAAUCCUAAAAUAUUGCAUGUGGAUUUCUCAUCACCCGAAGAGAUGGAACGUCAGAAAGAGCCGCCCACGCCACCGCUACCUAGGCCAGCAGCUACAACAGAACGGAGUGUGCCAGCAUUUCAGCGCACAGUAGAGGUGGACACACGGCUGCCAGCUGGACGCGAAGUCUUGCGUGACCCACGAGAAGUUUUGCGAGACCCCAGAGAGCCCCGGGAAACUAGGGACCCUCGAGAACCUAAGGACCCUCGCGAGGCUCGGGGCACUCUUUCAGGGCCCCCAGCACGCUCAGAUAGGAGUAUGAUGGUUGAAAGACAGGCAAUCAACAGGCGGCCUGCUGUGCCAGUACGUGAGUGGGACCGGGACAAAUUGCGUCAGGAGACACCACCUCCACCGCCUGCUGAGCGGGCACCAGCCCAAUCUCGGAAUAAGGACAGUUCUCCGCCAGACAAGCGAGAACGUCGAGACAAAAAAGUGGCAAAGCGCAAAUCGGAAGAGGACACACCUGCCAAAUUGCUGGAUGAUUUGUUCCGUAAAACAAAGGCGAGCCCUUGCAUCUACUGGCUGCCUCUUACUGAAGAACAGAUAGCACGAAAAGAAGAAGAGCGGAAGCAGCGGCGACAGGAGCGGGAGCGCCGACGGCAGCAGCAGCAACUACAGGAAGAGGAAGAGCGUCGUAAGAGAGCCCUCGCACGUGACAUGGCUGCAAAGACAAAGCAGGAGUCCAAGCGCAGUGGCAGCCAUAGCCCUGUGCGGCGGCGUUAAAGAAUCCAAUGCUCCCAGUGGGCUUCAGCAGCCAAUAGCUAGGCAGGUGCCACCGGUUGGUCUGGGAGCCCCAUGCGGGAGACAGGCAGAGGGGCCCUCAGCAUCGACUUCCCUGCCCUAUCAGCCCGGCACCAGCACGGGCAAGAUAAAUGGGGAGAGGGCCCUUGGUCGGACUGCUUGCGUGCGGGACCCUAGUUAGCUGCCGGCAAAACUUCCCAGGGGUCGAUGGGCCCAGGCAGGAACACGUCGCAGCAUGCACCACAAUGCCUCAAAUUGUCUCCUGAAAAAAAAAAAAAAAAAAAAAAAAAAUCCAGCCUCCUCUUUCAUCGUCAUCGCCAUUUUGGAAUGGAUCUCAGUUGCUGUUGUUGGAGGGUGCUACUUUGGAAAAACUUUGUGUGCUUCAAACCAAGACUGCAUCCAAGACUGGCAGCUGGUGCAACACUGAUGCUUGUGCUGAUAAACUGCGGUGUUGGACUGCGGUGUUCGACUGCAUCAGCUUCACUUGUACACCCUUGGCACACGAGACUCCGUUGCAUACGCAUUGUUAAUUCCCAUCUGUCUCUCUCAACUUGGUUCUGCCAUUUUUCAAUUUGCAAGAAAAGUGGCUAUGUACUCAUAUCUGCAUUCAUUUCCUAGAGCGACUUUGUGAAUGCACUGCAAAAUGGCUCCAUGAAACUGUAAAGUCCAAGCUCCCAUUUACUGUUUCGUGUUCAUUCAUAGUGAAGUGUAAGGCCAAUAAAAGUUUAAAGCUUCACUCUCA
rnacentral:misc_RNA from 1 species